CUGAUGCAUGAUGGGUUGUAGGCUAGAGCUGGAGGACUCAACUCUGAAGACUGUUUCUGAAUUCACUGACCUGAAAUAAAACUUGUAGACCUUUCCUGCAGUCACUGAGGAGAUGGACACCUCUUCUUCUUCUGGACGAUCUCCGUCUCCUACUGGGACUGUCUUCUUACCCCCUCCUAUCAUGUGGAACAGUCUCUACAAGCAGGCAGAGAUGGAGGUUCACUUCCUGAGAGAAGAGAAGAAGACCUGUACAGAGAAGGAAGCCCACAUGCUUGAGUUGAGGGG